rfam:Branchiostoma floridae genomic scaffold BRAFLscaffold_98, whole genome shotgun sequence.
GUCAGGAUGGCCGAGUGGUCUAAGGCGCCAGACUCAAGGGUGGAAGUCCCUUCCCAGCAUACAAAGCGAGGGUUCUGGUCCCCGAAUGGGGGCGUGGGUUCGAAUCCCACUUCUGACA